CACGUAGGGCGCAAGCGUUGUCCGGAAUUAUUGGGCGUAAAGAGCUCGUAGGCGGUCUGUUGCGUCCGCUGUGAAAACUCGGGGCUUAACCCCGAGCCUGCAGUGGAUACGGGCAGACUAGAGGUAGGUAGGGGAGAAUGGAAUUCCCGGUGUAGCGGUGAAAUGCGUAGAUAUCUGGAGGAAUACCGGUGGCGAAGGCGGCAUCCUGGACCGACAUUGACGCUGAGGAGCGAAAGCUAGGGGAGCAAACGGG
rnacentral:rRNA from 1 species